CAGCUGCCAAGAUAUCACGGAAUUCACGUCGUCGUCGUUUUAAUUACAGUUAUUUCUAUUAUUCUGCAAAAAAGAAGAGGUCAACCCGGAAUACUGUGAUCAUUAUUGGUAUUGAAUCAAAUAAACCAAUAGCAAUUUCAAUUAAAUUUGAUGUUGACCUAACAUAUUUUCAACCAACUUUUUGCGCGGACGAGUGUUUUGGAGCCAUCAGGGAACUUCAUAAGUAG